GGGGAAUUAGCUCAGAUGGUAGAGUGCUAGCUUUGUAUGCGAGAGGUACCGGGAUCGAUAACGGGAUUCUCCA
rnacentral:tRNA from 1 species